rnacentral:lncRNA from 1 species
GUGCCUCGUCGGGCUCCCCUGGCUGUCAUGCCUUCUCCCACCACCCCCUUCCGGGCACUCCCACCCCCUGCUAUUCCGGGUCGUCCCCCCAACUCUGGCUUCCAUCUCCCAUUGUCUUUACCACCCCACUUCCAUCUCCUCACUUACCACGACAGCAACCCCUUUCUUUACCUCAGUCAGUGCUACCUCUCUUCCCACCAUCACGCCCCCCACCGUGGGUCGCACAGCACUCCCCGCUUAGUUUUUUUCUCCUAUUGUGUCCUGUGGCUCUCUUUAUCUCUUUGCUGUGUUAAUUUGGGGAUCCCAGCCUUACUCUGAAUUCCAAAAAUAAUGGAAUAAGGACAUACAGACACAAACUCUAUCCAUUUUUUUAACCUGAAAACUUGAAUGCUAGGAUUCUGUCAAUGAUAUAAUUGUUUGUUUCUCCUUUUGAUUGGAAUAGAUCUGUCUGUUUGCUAAGCAUUGUCUCUUUGCUAAACUGCAAGUAAAUCAACGUCGAAAGUUAAUAAUCCGCUAAACAGUUUACGUUUUGCUGUGGAACUGUGGCUGGAAAGAUUUUCCUUUACAGAGGAAGCAGGGAAACUGCUUCUACAGAUGGUUUUGACUACAACCCUCAUCAGCCCCAGACAGUAUGGCCAGGAAUAAGAGUUUAUGAGAGGUGUGAUUCAAAAUAUUUGGAGUGCCAAAGCUUGCCCACCUCUGCUGUACAAGAAUCAGGUGAUAGAGAGGUUUGAAACAAGAUCUGAGACUAUCUGCUCUUGAACUGGCUAUUAUUCCCCCUCUAAUUCUCAAUCUCAUGCAGGUAAUACUUGUAGUAGUUAGAUGUAUUUAAAAAAUCAAAGUAUUUAUCUCACCCUAUGCUUCUUUUUCAUUUUUCACUUGUACCCCAUAAUCUAGGAAUGGAUAAAUGUGGUCCUCCCUUGGUGUUUUAAGGGAACAAUUUCCAUAAUCAUCCUUAGCUACACUACCUAGGGCUGGUUAGGAUUGUAUGUCUCAGACAUCUGGAGGACUAAAUGUUGCAAUUAAUUUUUUUUUCUUAAGUCAUGGGUUUUGGAAACACUGGCUGUUCUUUUAUGUAUGAAUGCUGAAUUGAAGAUUAUUAUACUUGACAGCUCUCCAG